ACAACAUGAGCGUGGUUGAUUUUAUUGGCCUUCAAACUGUGAUUGCAAUUCCAGGUCUUACACUCCUCAAUAGUCAUCUUAUCAAGCGUUAAAGAUGUAAUAAUAAUAAAAAAAAUAC